GUGCAUGGAAGAACGCAAAACUUCUACAUACUUCAAAGGUUGAUUCCAUUUGGACGAAUGCGCCUGCAACGUCUCUAUCACAUUUUAAGGGUACCGUCUACUGUAGAAAGUCAAUAUCCCGAAGUUAUCGAAAUGCUUCAUAUAGUAAAUCUAGUAUUGUGAUUAACACCUGUGACCCAAGUAGAUUUCUGGAAUCAAUUUAUACGUCUCUGAAAAUGGAUUGUGCCCGAGCUUGUACAAACAAAGCUGAUUGUAAACGAUAUUUGUAUUGUUCACGUAAUUCAUCUUGUAAAUUAUAUCAAGAUGGUAGAGAUUGUGUUAUGUCUGGUGAUACAACUGGUUGUUCCUGUUACACACAGAACAUUCGUUGCGAGGGUGCCGGUUGUACCUGUCCUUUAGGUAAAUAUGGACAAGGCUGUCACGAUAUCAUAUCAGACUGCACCGAAGGUUCACAGAAAGGUUUGAGAUCAUCUAAUAAAGUAUUGACAACCAUAAAGCCGCAUGCAUCUCCUGAAUCUGUUGAAGUACUAUGUACAUUUGACGAUGGUGGAUGGACUGGAAUACUCUGCCGUAAUAAGGACUGUUUACAUGAGAACUUUAAUAGAACUCUGGAGCAAUAUGAAGAGGGUUUUGGCAAUGUUGCGUCUAACAAAUGGCUAGGUUUGAAACAAAUACUAUCCCUACUUGAUAAUCCGCGCAGUACCUACAGCUUACGGGUAGUCCUGGUUAAACCAGAUGCAUCAACUUGCAUCAGUCAGUACACCAACGUUGUUGUUGGUAAUAAAUCGACGUCAUAUACAUUAUAUAUCAGUGGCUAUACUGGUAAUGGAACAACAUGUGGAGACAGUUUGACUGGUACUAUUAACUUGAACAACAAUCCCUUCUCUACGUACGAUGUUGAUUAUACUGAUAACUUGGAAUGUGUCAAGAGAUUCGGGGGCGGAUGGUGGUAUGCUAGUCAUGUCGACUGCACCAGUAGCCUUUUAACCGGAUCAAUGAAUGGCUCCAGAACAGAUAAUUUUUGGAAUGAAAGCCUGUCAGAUUCUGCAUUGAAUCAAAUAUAUUUACAAUUACAAAGGAAUUGAUAAAUUCAUUGAGAGAGACAUUAUAGUUUUCAGCAACAUGAACAAUGUGCAUGUGCUUAU